GCAGUGGUGAUUCAGUGGUAGAAUUCUCGCCUUCUGUUUGGAGGACCCGGGUUUGAUUCCUGGCCAGUGUA
rnacentral:tRNA from 1 species